GAUGAAGAACGCAGCGAAAUGCGAUAAGUAAUGUGAAUUGCAGAAUUCAGUGAAUCAUCGAAUCUUUGAACGCACAUUGCGCCCGCCAGUAUUCUGGCGGGCAUGCCUGUUCGAGCGUCAUUUCAACCAUCAAGCCCCAGGCUUGUGUUGGGGACCUGCGGCUGCCGCAGGCCCUGAAAACCAGUGGCGGGCUCGCUGUCACACCGGGCGUAGUAGAUUUUAUCUCUCUCUGGGCGUGCUGCGGGUUCCGGCCGUUAAAAAACCCUUUUAACCCAAGGUUGACCUCGGAUCAGGUAGGAAUACCCGCUGAACUUAAGCAUAUCAAUAAGCGGAGGA
rnacentral:misc_RNA from 1 species